GGAGAAGAAGAGCAGAUGUUGGUCACGGUCCCUCGAGCCCGUCUCCCUGCUGGGAGUCCUGUGUUCCACGCAGGCAAAACCAGGCGAACUCUUGAUUCCAGCUCUGUUCGGUUCUACCCAUUUGAAAAGGCAGAAACGGAGGUUCAGGUGUAUACACUGUCUUGCCCAAGGUCAGGCAACUCGUUGAGGAGCCAGUUAUCUGCUAGACUUCCUUUGUUCUGCGGGGCUCUAUCUUGGCAUUUCUGUCAAGGAGAUGUUUUGGCUGGAUCCACCACCCUGGCCUCUGUGCAUCUCUGGAAAGCUGAGCUAAAGGAAACAUAGCCCAGGAGGUAGAAGGGGAGCUGGAUUUUUGUCUGGCUGAAUGCAGAACCCUCCAAGGAAAACGUGCUCCAGGGACCAGGGGCUCAGUGGACCAAUGACCAGCAUCUUCCCAAGACUGCCAGCAGCCCCUCAACCUUUCAGCAAUUGGACUGCUGGCCGGAGCAAUGACAUGCCAGCCUUCUUGAGAUCCCUGGUUAACUCUUCUCUGUGCAAUAGGAGAGGAGUUGGAGAGGGUCAUCUCCUUGCCUCUGUUAAAUAGUGUUG
rnacentral:lncRNA from 1 species